rnacentral:rRNA from 1 species
AUGCGUGCGGCAUGGAAUCCGGCUCAGGAUGUAGUCUGGAGAAGGAUAAACCCUAACCUUUUCUUGAUUCAGUUCCAUUGUCUUGCGGACUGGAAUAAGGCCCUGCAUCAGGGUCCGUGGGAUUUUAAAGGUUCAGCUCUUCUGAUGACUGAAUAUGAUGGGUUCUCAAACCCAGAGAAAGUCAAGAUUGAUAGGUUGGAAACGUGCUGUCAAAUCCACAAGUUGCCGGAUGGAGUUUUGAAAAAUAAGAACUUUCUGGAAAACAUGGCAAAGCGUAUAGGGGAGGUUCAGGAGGUUCAGAUUACACUCCCUAACAGAUUCAAAUCACCCUCAUGGAUUCGUAGGUGA